CGAAGCGUCGGGCCCACCCCGCUGCGCCGCAGGCCGUGCACCGCCACCCCCGGACCCUCCCCCGCAGGUACGCUCCCCUCUGGCCUGGCCGUGGUCCCCACUCCCGCCCCGGAAAAGGGUUCACCUGAGGCCGCAGGGACAGCCAAUGAGAAGUCCCCUCGGCCCCGCCAGCCGCCGCUCCCUACCCCCGAGCGACCCCCGGUAGCGUCCCCAGUGCCAGCCCCCGCGCGGGUGCCCGCGUCCCGGCCCGGAGGAGAGGCGGGACGACGGCGCGUCCUCUCCCCGCAAGAUUACCUCGCAGCGCGUAGCCGGCUUUGUGUUUCCCCUCCCUCCUUCUCCGCAGCCGCCCGGGCUGCAGCAGCCGCCAGAUCCGCCGCUGCGGCCGCCUCUUAAGCGCCGCAGAGCCCCAGAGGGCGACCGUUACGGGCUGGCGACUCGCGCUCUGGCGGGACUAGGCGAGCGCCCCUCGAGCGUCCCUUGGUCCCGCCCCCUAACGCCCCGCCCCUAGGUCCCCAAGCUCCCCCCCUGGUCACGCCCCCAAGGUCCGCCCCUCGCAGCCCCCUACGCCUCUGGCCCCGCCUCUUGGGCUCCGAAGCCUCCCGGCCCCGCCUCCUCAAGACCUCGCCUCUGGCAGCCCCGAGCUCUCUCUGGCCCCGCCCCGAGCGCCCCUCGGGAGUCCUGGUCCCGCCCCCGCAGCCCCCUCCGCGCCCUCAAGCGCUAAGUCCGUGAAGCCGCGGCGGUGGGGGCCUGCAGGCGCCGCACCCGGGCGGGGGUGGUGGGGGGCGGGGCCUGNNNNNNNNNNUGGUUCGGGGCGGCUGCCUGGCGCCUUUUCAACGUCCUCCUCUGGCUGUGCAGCUCGAAUCCGCGGCGUCCCCGGAGGGCCAGAGGGGGAAACGACCCCGAUAGAAACCCGACCGCGAAGGGGAGGAGGGGCUCCUCGGAAAUGUCUCCCGCCCUAAAUGAGCGAGCCCCCUACUCCUACUCCCGAGGCUGAGCCGCUGCUUUGAGUCAGCCUCGGCCGCCCACGCUGGCUGCUGGGGCUGUAGGGGGAGGCCACUGCAAAGGUUCAACCUCCGCACGCCCCCCGUGGGGCCUGGACUUUGCUCUCAGCACAGCUGCCUUCGCGGGCGCCUAGUCCCCACAACCCCUGCUUCACCUCCACAUAGGGGGAGGACAGGGGCUCUCGCUUCUGCUUCAUUUGGACCCCUCGAGAGUCUUCACUCCCGCUUUGGCUCCCGGCCUCUGAACCUUAUGAGAGCUCACUUCUUUGAGGCGAAAAGUCGAGGCAUCUCCAAGAACCUUCAAAAUGAAUGCGGGGCCGGGCAAACUUUGCAACACGCAAUUGCAGGGCUGUGGAUCCAUCCACAGGUGUGGAUUCUGCAAUGCUGCACAGAAACCUACUGCAGCCUCAGACCAACAGCAGCAGCAGCAGCAGCGGCGGCGGCAGCAGCAGCAGCAGCAUUAGCAGCAGCAGCUUCUCUCAAUGCUGAGUAGUAAAGUGUUUGACUUAGUAAACUCUACAAUUACCAUUAGGCGCUUGCUUAUAAGAGAGGAGGCGGAAUCUUUCUUAAAGGAAUGGGUUUUGUUUUUCCUCUCUAGUGUUGCUUCAUAAGAGGCAGAGAGGGUGGAAUCAGGGAGUUUUGUGGAGUGAGUAAAUGAGUACAGCUGUGGGAGGUCAAGGUUAAAAUUAACUGGGUGGUUGAGGAAUGGAGGCAAUGAUUUUAGUGUAAGUCAAUGAAAUGCUAGAAGCACCAGUUUUAAAGAGCCCUGCUGAUUUCAAACAUUGGGGUAAUGGCAAAAUAAAGUUGUAUGCCUUGAAACUGAUUAGUAAUUUGUGCUAAUA
ensembl:lincRNA